GUGGAUUAGAUACCCUGGUAGUCCACGCCGUAAACGAUGAUAACUAGCUGUCCGGGGACUUGGUCUUUGGGUGGCGCAGCUAACGCAUUAAGUUAUCCGCCUGGGGAGUACGGCCGCAAGGUUAAAACUCAAAUGAAUUGACGGGGGCCUGCACAAGCGGUGGAGCAUGUGGUUUAAUUCGAAGCAACGCGCAGAACCUUACCAGCGUUUGACAUGUCCGGACGAUUUCCAGAGAUGGAUUUCUUCCCUUCGGGGACUGGAACACAGGUGCUGCACGGUCGUCGCCAACU
rnacentral:rRNA from 1 species